UCAGCUUGUUGGUGGGGUAGUGGCCUACCAAGGCGACGACGGGUAGCCGGCCUGAGAGGGUGACCGGCCACACUGGGACUGAGACACGGCCCAGACUCCUACGGGAGGCAGCAGUGGGGAAUAUUGCGCAAUGGGCGGAAGCCUGACGCAGCGACGCCGCGUGGGGGAUGACGGCCUUCGGGUUGUAAACCUCUUUCAGCAGGGACGAAGCGAAAGUGACGGUACCUGCAGAAGAAGCACCGGCCAACUACGUGCCAGCAGCCGCGGUAAUACGUAGGGUGCAAGCGUUGUCCGGAAUUAUUGGGCGUAAAGAGCUCGUAGGCGGUCUGUCGCGUCGGCUGUGAAAUCCCGAGGCUCAACCUCGGGUCUGCAGUCGAUACGGGCAAACUGGAGUACUGCAGGGGAGACUGGAAUUCCUGGUGUAGCGGUGAAAUGCGCAGAUAUCAGGAGGAACACCGGUGGCGAAGGCGGGUCUCUGGGCAGUAACUGACGCUGAGGAGCGAAAGCGUGGGGAGCGAACAGGAUUAGAUACCCUGGUAGUCCACGCCGUAAACGUUGGGCGCUAGGUGUGGGCCACAUUCCACGUGGUCUGUGCCGCAGCUAACGCAUUAAGCGCCCCGCCUGGGGAGUACGG
rnacentral:rRNA from 1 species